GCCUGAGUGGCUCAGUUGGUUGAGUGUCUGACUUCGGCUCAGGUCACGAUCACAUGGUUUGGGUUCGAGCCCCGCAUCGGGCU
rnacentral:tRNA from 1 species